AGGCGCCACCAGAUUCCUGCGCAGCAACGUGGUCCACGGGAUUAUCCUUUCUAAUGCAGCUGGUGACACUGAUACACCUAAAUCAACUUUAGAAGUACCAUGUGAGACUACAUGAUCACCAGCAGCAUAGUUUCCAGUAUUUAUCCACUGGGAAUACCGUGCAGAGAAUUACUCCAUUCUCAAUUCAUUGGUUAACGAAUUGGCCAUCAGGGAAGUUCUGUUUCAAGAAGUUUAUCAUGGGAGCCGAAUUCGUAAUCAGGCGAAUGAGUUAGAAGCUGUUUGUUUCUAAGGGCAGGAGCCUACUGUCUGAAAAACCAAGAUGGCCACAUAUACAAGCAUUCAUACUGAUACUAAACCAACUGACAAAAUGUUAUACAACUUAGAAAAUGG